CUUAAUAAUAAAAAGUCCACAGAGCACCUGACGCGUUUCGGCAAUAAGCCUUCAUCCGAGGUGAUUCUCAUGAUCCAUGGCAUGCUGUUUUAUAUGUUGUUCUCUCGCGCCCUUUUUCGCCGCAUUCGCGGCACUUUACUUCCGGGUCCGACGUCGAGACGCAUCCUGCGUCAUCACGUCCCGACGUCUAUCCUCACUUCCGGUUGGGGAACAUAUUAGGACGUAUCAGAAACGUCAUUGAAAACGGAGCUUCCUUCAAUUAUAUUGCUCCUAACUUUUAAACGUCCAAAGCAGUAAAAUUGCAACAUUCUUAUUAGAGAGAAAAAUAUAGAUAAUACAAUCAUUAAAAACAGAUAAAGAUAAU